rnacentral:rRNA from 1 species
UACGAAGGGGGCUAGCGUUGCUCGGAAUUACUGGGCGUAAAGCGCACGUAGGCGGAUUGUUAAGUCGGGGGUGAAAUCCUGGAGCUCAACUCCAGAACUGCCUUCGAUACUGGCGAUCUCGAGUUCGGGAGAGGUGAGUGGAACUGCAAGUGUAGAGGUGAAAUUCGUAGAUAUUCGCAAGAACACCAGUGGCGAAGGCGGCUCACUGGCCCGAUACUGACGCUGAGGUGCGAAAGCGUGGGGAGCAAACAGG